GACGAACGCUGGCGGCGUGCUUAACACAUGCCAGUCGAACGGGAAGGCCCUGCUUUUGUGCGGUGCUCGAGUGGCGAACGGGUAAGUAGCACGUGAGUAACCUGUCCUUGACUUUGGGAUAACUUCAGGCAACUUAGGCUAAUACCGGCUAGGAUCUCCUGCUGCAUGGUGGGGGUUGGAAAGUUUCGGCGGUUGGUGAUGGACUAGCCGCGUAUCGGAUUGUUGGUUGGGUAGUGGAUUACCAAGGCAUGGACCGGUAGCCGGGCUGAGCGGGUCACCGGCCACACUGGGACUGAGAUAAGGCCCAGACUCCUACGGGAGGCAGGAGUGGGGAAUAGUGCAUUAUGGGCGGAAGCCAGAUGCAGCCACGCAGCGUGGGGGAUGACGGCCAUCGGUUUGUAUUCCAAUUCCGCCUUUGACGAGGCGUGAGUGACGGUAAUGGGUGAAGAAGCUCCGGCUAACUACGUG
rnacentral:rRNA from 1 species